CCCUUAGAGUUUGAUCCUGGCUCAKAACRAAYGCUGGCGGCGUGCUUAACACAUGCAAGUCGAACGUGAUUGAGAGCUUGCUCUCAUGAAAGUGGCGCACGGGUGAGUAACACGUGGAUAAUCUGCCUGGCGAUUCGGGAUAACACUUCGAAAGGGGUGCUAAUACCGGAUAAGCCCACGGUCUCUUCGGAGAGUGCGGGAAAAGGGGGCCUCUGUAUAUGCUCCUGUCGCUAGAUGAGUCCGCGGCCCAUUAGCUAGUUGGUAGGGUAAUGGCCUACCAAGGCUACGAUGGGUAGCUGGUCUGAGAGGAUGAUCAGCCACACUGGAACCGAGACACGGUCCAGACUCCUACGGGAGGCAGCAGUGGGGAAUUUUGCGCAAUGGGCGAAAGCCUGACGCA
rnacentral:rRNA from 1 species